rnacentral:rRNA from 1 species
AGAGUUUGAUCAUGGCUCAGAUUGAACGCUGGCGGCAGGCCUAACACAUGCAAGUCGAACGGUAACAGGAAACAGCUUGCUGUUUCGCUGACGAGUGGCGGACGGGUGAGUAAUGUCUGGGAAACUGCCUGAUGGUGGGGGAUAACUACUGGAAACGGUAGCUAAUACCGCAUAACGUCGCAAGACCAAAGAGGGGGACCCUCGGGCCUCUUGCCAUCGGAUGUGCCCAGAUGGGAUUAGCUUGUUGGUGGGGUAACGGCUCACCAAGGCGACGAUCCCUAGCUGGUCUGAGAGGAUGACCAGCCACACUGGAACUGAGACACGGUCCAGACUCCUACGGGAGGCAGCAGUGGGGAAUAUUGCACAAUGGGCGCAAGCCUGAUGCAGCCAUGCCGCGUGUAUGAAGAAGGCCUUCGGGUUGUAAAGUACUUUCAGCGGGGAGGAAGGGAGUAAAGUUAAUACCUUUGCUCAUUGACGUUACCCGCAGAAGAAGCACCGGCUAACUCCGUGCCAGCAGCCGCGGUAAUACGGAGGGUGCAAGCGUUAAUCGGAAUUACUGGGCGUAAAGCGCACGCAGGCGGUUUGUUAAGUCAGAUGUGAAAUCCCCGGGCUCAACCUGGGAACUGCAUCUGAUACUGGCAAGCUUGAGUCUCGUAGAGGGGGGUAGAAUUCCAGGUGUAGCGGUGAAAUGCGUAGAGAUCUGGAGGAAUACCGGUGGCGAAGGCGGCCCCCUGGACGAAGACUGACGCUCAGGUGCGAAAGCGUGGGGAGCAAACAGGAUUAGAUACCCUGGUAGUCCACGCCGUAAACGAUGUCGACUUGGAGGUUGUGCCCUUGAGGCGUGGCUUCCGGAGCUAACGCGUUAAGUCGACCGCCUGGGGAGUACGGCCGCAAGGUUAAAACUCAAAUGAAUUGACGGGGGCCCGCACAAGCGGUGGAGCAUGUGGUUUAAUUCGAUGCAACGCGAAGAACCUUACCUGGUCUUGACAUCCACGGAAGUUUUCAGAGAUGAGAAUGUGCCUUCGGGAACCGUGAGACAGGUGCUGCAUGGCUGUCGUCAGCUCGUGUUGUGAAAUGUUGGGUUAAGUCCCGCAACGAGCGCAACCCUUAUCCUUUGUUGCCAGCGGUCCGGCCGGGAACUCAAAGGAGACUGCCAGUGAUAAACUGGAGGAAGGUGGGGAUGACGUCAAGUCAUCAUGGCCCCUUACGACCAGGGCUACACACGUGCUACAAUGGCGCAUACAAAGAGAAGCGACCUCGCGAGAGCAAGCGGACCUCAUAAAGUGCGUCGUAGUCCGGAUUGGAGUCUGCAACUCGACUCCAUGAAGUCGGAAUCGCUAGUAAUCGUGGAUCAGAAUGCCACGGUGAAUACGUUCCCGGGCCUUGUACACACCGCCCGUCACACCAUGGGAGUGGGUUGCAAAAGAAGUAGGUAGCUUAACCUUCGGGAGGGCGCUUACCACUUUGUGAUUCAUGACUGGGGUGAAGUCGGAACAAGGUA